rnacentral:rRNA from 1 species
GAAUCUUGGGCAAUGGGCGAAAGCUUGACCCAGCAACGCCGCGUGAGGGAUGAAGGCCUUCGGGUCGUAAACCUCUGUCGGGAGGGAAGAACGUUCUCGGGGCGAACAGUCCCGAGGGCUGACGGUACCUCCAAAGGAAGCGCCGGCCAACCCCGUUCCAGCAGCCGCGAUAAUACGGAGGGCGCAAGCGUUGUUCGGAAUCAUUGGGCGUAAAGCGCGUGUAGGCGGCUUGGCAAGUCGAGUGUGAAAGCCCGGGGCUCAACCCCGGAAGGUCGCUCGAAACUGCCUCGCUAGAGUCCCGGAGAGGAAGGCGGAAUUCCCGGUGUAGAGGUGAAAUUCGUAGAUAUCGGGAGGAACACCAGCGGCGAAGGCGGCCUUCUGGACGGUGACUGACGCUGAGACGCGAAAGCGUGGGGAGCAAACAGG